rnacentral:lncRNA from 1 species
GAGGAGCCCUGAGUGCGAUACAAGAGGGAGUUGAGAGAUCAAGUUGAGAUUUUCUAGGAAUAGUAUUCUCCACUUGUUUCUUUUAUAUUUCUUUUCUAAACGAUGGUGAUUACUUUCUAUUUCAUGUUUGUACUGAAGUACACAUGAUUUAUAGGUUAAAUGUUAUGUUUUUCAAUCUUGGUUCUAUUGUAUAAUCUUUGGGUUUGAAUGUUUUUAGCAUGGAAGUGUUAUUG